rnacentral:rRNA from 1 species
UACGGAGGGUGCAAGCGUUAUUCGGAAUUACUGGGCGUAAAGCGCGCGUAGGCGGUUACAUAAGUCGGGUGUGAAAGCCCCGGGCUCAACCUGGGAAUUGCAUUCGAGACUGCGUAGCUAGGGUGCGGAAGAGGGGAGCGGAAUUUCCGGUGUAGCGGUGAAAUGCGUAGAUAUCGGAAGGAACACCAGUGGCGAAAGCGGCUUCCUGGUCCAGCACCGACGUUCAGGCACGAAAGCGUGGGGAGCAAACAGG